AGCAUAUUUAGCCUAAUGCACUUGCUGCCGAGCCAAUAGGUCUAUUGCAGGCAGAUCAGAAGUCAUAGAGAGACUCUCCUUUCAACACAAAAUUCACGACCCAUUAAACUUAUUCUGUGAUAACAGCUUCUUUACAAACGGAGACCCACAGAGAACAGAGUCUGUCAUGCACUUCCUGAAAGGAUUUACAUACAGAAGAGAAGUACAUUCGCGAGGUUAUUGCUAUUUCACUAGUAUUAUCUCCAAUCAAGGCAUAAAAGCAGCUCUGCUCUAGCUAACUGAGAACCAACAUCAGCAUUUCCGAACCCAGAUAUAUUCCCUCUUCAACAGCUGCUGAUUAUUGACUGAUUUGCCACUGCUCCUUUGUGAUGGAAGUGGAACUGACACUGAUGGGACCAUCCCCAAAGCUCAUCCACCCUUCAGGCUGUGGAGUACAUUGAAGCCAAGGACUGAGGAAUUAUGUGAGGGUGCUUCACUUGCUUAUGAACUCAAGACUUCCGUGCAUGUGGCUCAACAGUAAACAACUGCCAGGGCUAACACCUGCAGUUCAAGUACAAGAUGUCUGUGCUUCUGGGACCCCUAUGACACACCAUGAAGUUAACGUACAGAUCUGUACUUGGUGGAGGGAUGUCAUCAAGAUGGUUCUAUCAUUUUCCAGUCAGUGCUCUUGCUACAAGCUUACAUAAAGUCUUGCAAGCUGUUGGAAAUAAUAUUAUACCCUUCUGGUGUACCAUUGCCCGCUUCACUGCUGUCUGGGAGCCUACUUCAAGGUAUUGACAACCAUAUUUCUUGAUUUUCUUGACUUAGUUAAAAAGCUUCUUUUAACCACAAAAUUUGUUUUCCUAAUACAGAGCUAUAGGUUGACUAGUUUUUUCAAUUAAUUCCUUCUCAUGCUACAGCACUUGCCAGCUUGGUCCAGAAAACAGUGGAGUAGGGAGCACUACUUGCAAACAAAGUGAUACCAAUCUCUUGCUAUUUGGCCAGUGACCCCUCACGUCCCCAGGGAGGACGACUGGGUAGGCGUCCCUGAUGCCCACGGGACUCUGCUUCACAGGCCUGGAAAAGGGCAAUCAGUGCCAAUUGCUCAUUAACCUUCUCCACUCUUGCAAAUCUAUUGCCGUGCCUGGAUAUGAAAACAUCUUUAUGAGAGCAGAGCCAGGGAAAUGGAGGUGCAGGGUGUGGUGGGAAGGGUCACACAUCUUCAUCAGCAAGGAACUAAAGGAAAUGGAAGGAGGGGUGACAUUACAGGAUUUUAGUUUCCAUUAGCAUCACAAAAAUAACAUAUUCAGCAUAAAAGUAAUGUAUUUUCCAGGGGACCUAUUUACCUCUGAGACCAGAGUCUCUUCCUCCUGACAGUUAAACUAUGGAGAAAUAUCUCCCAGGAUUUAUCUUUGAUUUUAAGCAAUUAGUUUUUUACUGUUCAGGAUACCUCCGAACAAUUUU